UUUGUCUGCUUUGAGUGUCUUGUCAACAAAUGCACGAGUACUACCAAGAUACAGAUUUUAUGACAGUUGUUACAGACAAUAUCGUUUCUUGACUUUAGGGGGACCCCGCGAAUAAAAGUUCC